GUCAUCUUGCAUUAAAAGCUUGUAAGUGUAAGAGAAUUCAUCCGAGUCUAGAACAAAUAAAGAGAAAAACGAAGCCAACACUGUGAUGUUAGUAACUAGCCCAACAAAUCAAAUCAAACCCAAAGCCAACCAAAAAACCAUAACUCACAAGUUGACUCAUCCCCAACCUAUAGAACCUAGGUUUACAAAGAAAAUCACAAAAUAGAAAAGUAUGUUGCCUAUCAUCUACAGAGCUUGCCACUACCAGAAGUGCUAAGCAGAUAACAAAGCCAAUAAUUUUGCCAAUAAUAGCAACUAUCGUCGCCCAUCAUAGCACAACAACUCACCUAAUAGUGCAUACCUCCCAUCUUCCUCAACAAAAUAUAAAGCUCAGCUCUACAACAAGAAGGAGGUGUUGCCAGAGCUCUUUGAUCCUCAUAGGUCAUUUGAACGACCUUCCCAGCCGUGAUGUAGUAGUAAAUUCAAGAGAUGUGAAACAAUCGAAGCAAGAAGCCCUCUUAACGCACAGAACAAAUCCCUAGACUAAAGACCAAGCACUAAACAAUUCAAUUACAAAGGCCCCCCACCAUUUGACCUCAAGAUCUAUGGAACAAUAUAAAUACACUCAAAACUGUAAAAAAACCAUACAAGAAAGAGAAGAGAAAUCCUUCACCAUGUCGGAGCGAAACACUAUCCGGAAGGGCCAUCAAAGACAAUCCAUUGAAGUCCGAGAUAGAAAAAAAAAAAAUGAAUGGAGAGGAAAUUUUUCUCCAGAGAAACUAGAGGGAGCUCAAUUGGAG
rnacentral:misc_RNA from 1 species